GAUGAAGAACGCAGCGAAAUGCGAUAAGUAGUGUGAAUUGCAGAAUUCAGUGAAUCAUCGAAUCUUUGAACGCACAUUGCGCCCCUUGGUAUUCCAUGGGGCAUGCCUGUUCGAGCGUCAUUUGUACCUUCAAGCUCUGCUUGGUGUUGGGUGUUUGUCUCGCCUCUGCGCGUAGACUCGCCUCAAAACAAUUGGCAGCCGGCGUAUUGAUUUCGGAGCGCAGUACAUCUCGCGCCUUGCACUCAUAACGACGACGUCCAAAAGUACAUUUUUACACUCUUGACCUCGGAUCAGGUAGGGAUACCCGCUGAACUUAAGCAUAUCAAUAAGCGGAGGA
rnacentral:misc_RNA from 1 species